rnacentral:rRNA from 1 species
UACAGAGGGUGCAAGCGUUUGUUCGGAAUUAUUGGGCGUAAAGGGAGUGUAGGCUGUUUUGUUUAAGUCUUCUGUGAAAUCUACGGGCUUGCGCUGUAAAGUGCAGAGGAAACUGACAAGCUUGAGUGUCGGAGAGGAUAGUGGAAUUCCCGGUGUAGAGGUGAAAUUCGUAGAGAUCGGGAGGAACACCAGUGGCGAAGGCGACUACCUGGCCUGUUCUUGACGCUGAGGUGCGAAAGCGUGGGGAGCAAACAGG